rnacentral:tRNA from 1 species
GGGGAUAUAGCACAGUGGUAGAGCGCUCUGUUAGCAUGGGAGAGGGCGGGGGUGCAAUUCCCCAUAUCUCCA